UAGGGAAUCUUUCGCAAUGGACGCAAGUCUGACGGAGCAACGCCGCGUGAGUGAAGAAGGAUUUCGGUUCGUAAAACUCUGUUGUUAGAGAAGAACAGCGCAUAGAGUAACUGUUAUGCGUGUGACGGUAUCUAACCAGAAAGCCACGGCUAACUACGUGCCAGCAGCCGCGGUAAUACGUAGGUGGCAAGCGUUGUCCGGAUUUAUUGGGCGUAAAGCGAGCGCAGGCGGUCAAUUAAGUCUGAUGUGAAAGCCCCCGGCUCAACCGGGGAGGGUCAUUGGAAACUGGUUGACUUGAGUGCAGAAGAGGAGAGUGAAAUUCCAUGUGUAACGGUGAAAUGCGUAGAUAUAUGGAGGAACACCAGUGGCGAGGGCGACUCUCUGGUCUGUAACUGACGCUGAGGAUCGAAAGCGUGGGUAGCAAAAAGG
rnacentral:rRNA from 1 species